ACAGGGUGAAAAGGGUGAGCCAGGAGCUAUCUAUGCCUCAGUCGACUCAUUAACAGAAUUGGUAGCAAGACCAGGAGAAAAGGGUGAACCUGGAGUAAUGGGACCACCUGGACCAAUGGGACCACCUGGACAUUCAGGACCAAAAGGAGAACUUGGUUUUCCUGGCAGGCCUGGACGUCCUGGGCUGA